CUAAGUGGCGGACGGGUGAGUAGUGUAUAGUUAAUCUGCCCUUUAGAGGGGGAUAACAGUUGGAAACGACUGCUAAUACCCCAUACUCCUUUUACAUUAAUUGUAAUUGGGAAACGUUUUUUCGCUAAAGGAUGAGACUAUAUGGUAUCAGGUAGUUGGUGGGGUAAGAGCCCACCAAGCCAAUGACGCCUAGCUGGUCUGAGAGGAUGAUCAGCCACACUGGAACUGAGACACGGUCCAG
rnacentral:rRNA from 1 species